GGUUAAGCGACUAAGCGUACACGGUGGAUGCCCUGGCAGUCAGAGGCGAUGAAGGACGUGCUAAUCUGCGAAAAGCGCCGGCGAGGUGAUAUGAACCCUUGACCCGGCGAUGUCCGAAUGGGGAAACCCAGUGCAAUCCGUUGCACUAUCGUUAACUGAAUACAUAGGUUAACGAGGCGAACCGGGGGAACUGAAACAUCUAAGUACCCCGAGGAAAAGAAAUCAACCGAGAUUCCCCCAGUAGCGGCGAGCGAACGGGGAGCAGCCCAGAGUCUGAAUCAGCUUGUGUGUUAGUGGAAGCGUCUGGAAAGUCGCACGGUACAGGGUGAAAGUCCCGUACACGAAAAUGCACAGGUUGUGAACUCGAAGAGUAGGGCGGGACACGUGGUAUCCUGUCUGAAUAUGGGGGGACCAUCCUCCAAGGCUAAAUACUCCUGACUGACCGAUAGUGAACCAGUACCGUGAGGGAAAGGCGAAAAGAACCCCGGCGAGGGGAGUGAAAAAGAACCUGAAACCGUGUACGUACAAGCAGUGGGAGCACCUUCGGGUGUGACUGCGUACCUUUUGUAUAAUGGGUCAGCGACUUAUAUUCUGUAGCAAGGUUAACCGUAUAGGGGAGCCGAAGGGAAACCGAGUCUUAACUGGGCGUUAAGUUGCAGGGUAUAGACCCGAAACCCGGUGAUCUAGCCAUGGGCAGGUUGAAGGUUGGGUAACACUAACUGGAGGACCGAACCGACUAAUGUUGAAAAAUUAGCGGAUGACUUGUGGCUGGGGGUGAAAGGCCAAUCAAACCGGGAGAUAGCUGGUUCUCCCCGAAAGCUAUUUAGGUAGCGCCUCGUGAACUCAUCUUCGGGGGUAGAGCACUGUUUCGGCUAGGGGGCCAUCCCGGCUUACCAACCCGAUGCAAACUACGAAUACCGAAGAAUGUUAUCACGGGAGACACACGGCGGGUGCUAACGUCCGUCGUGAAGAGGGAAACAACCCAGACCGCCAGCUAAGGUCCCAAAGUCAUGGUUAAGUGGGAAACGAUGUGGGAAGGCCCAGACAGCCAGGAUGUUGGCUUAGAAGCAGCCAUCAUUUAAAGAAAGCGUAAUAGCUCACUGGUCGAGUCGGCCUGCGCGGAAGAUGUAACGGGGCUAAACCAUGCACCGAAGCUGCGGCAGCGACACUAUGUGUUGUUGGGUAGGGGAGCGUUCUGUAAGCCGUUGAAGGUGACCUGUGAGGGUUGCUGGAGGUAUCAGAAGUGCGAAUGCUGACAUAAGUAACGAUAAAGCGGGUGAAAAGCCCGCUCGCCGGAAGACCAAGGGUUCCUGUCCAACGUUAAUCGGGGCAGGGUGAGUCGACCCCUAAGGCGAGGCCGAAAGGCGUAGUCGAUGGGAAACAGGUUAAUAUUCCUGUACUUGGUGUUACUGCGAAGGGGGGACGGAGAAGGCUAUGUUAGCCGGGCGACGGUUGUCCCGGUUUAAGCAUGUAGGCGGAGGUUCCAGGUAAAUCCGGUACCUUUUUAACGCUGAGGUGUGAUGACGAGGCACUACGGUGCUGAAGUAACAAAUGCCCUGCUUCCAGGAAAAGCCUCUAAGCAUCAGGUAACACGAAAUCGUACCCCAAACCGACACAGGUGGUCAGGUAGAGAAUACCAAGGCGCUUGAGAGAACUCGGGUGAAGGAACUAGGCAAAAUGGUGCCGUAACUUCGGGAGAAGGCACGCUGAUAUGUAGGUGAAGCCCCUGCGGGUGGAGCUGAAAUCAGUCGAAGAUACCAGCUGGCUGCAACUGUUUAUUAAAAACACAGCACUGUGCAAACACGAAAGUGGACGUAUACGGUGUGACGCCUGCCCGGUGCCGGAAGGUUAAUUGAUGGGGUUAGCGGUAACGCGAAGCUCUUGAUCGAAGCCCCGGUAAACGGCGGCCGUAACUAUAACGGUCCUAAGGUAGCGAAAUUCCUUGUCGGGUAAGUUCCGACCUGCACGAAUGGCGUAAUGAUGGCCAGGCUGUCUCCACCCGAGACUCAGUGAAAUUGAACUCGCUGUGAAGAUGCAGUGUACCCGCGGCAAGACGGAAAGACCCCGUGAACCUUUACUAUAGCUUGACACUGAACACUGGUCCUUGAUGUGUAGGAUAGGUGGGAGGCUUUGAAGCGUGGACGCCAGUCUGCGUGGAGCCAACCUUGAAAUACCACCCUUUAAUGGCUGGUGUUCUAACGUAGACCCGUGAUCCGGGUUGCGGACAGUGUCUGGUGGGUAGUUUGACUGGGGCGGUCUCCUCCCAAAGAGUAACGGAGGAGCACGAAGGUUAGCUAAUCCUGGUCGGACAUCAGGAGGUUAGUGCAAUGGCAUAAGCUAGCUUGACUGCGAGAGUGACGGCUCGAGCAGGUGCGAAAGCAGGUCAUAGUGAUCCGGUGGUUCUGAAUGGAAGGGCCAUCGCUCAACGGAUAAAAGGUACUCCGGGGAUAACAGGCUGAUACCGCCCAAGAGUUCAUAUCGACGGCGGUGUUUGGCACCUCGAUGUCGGCUCAUCACAUCCUGGGGCUGAAGUAGGUCCCAAGGGUAUGGCUGUUCGCCAUUUAAAGUGGUACGCGAGCUGGGUUUAGAACGUCGUGAGACAGUUCGGUCCCUAUCUGCCGUGGGCGCUGGAGAAUUGAGGGGGGCUGCUCCUAGUACGAGAGGACCGGAGUGGACGCAUCACUGGUGUUCGGGUUGUCAUGCCAAUGGCACUGCCCGGUAGCUAAAUGCGGAAGAGAUAAGUGCUGAAAGCAUCUAAGCACGAAACUUGCCCCGAGAUGAGUUCUCCCUGAGACUUAAAGUCUCCUGAAGGAACGUUGAAGACGACGACGUUGAUAGGUCGGGUGUGUAAGCGCAGCGAUGCGUUGAGCUAACCGAUACUAAUGAACCGUGAGGCUUAACCUU
rnacentral:rRNA from 1 species